rnacentral:lncRNA from 1 species
GACUCCCUCUCAAAAAAAAGGUGACUUGAAAACAUAAUCACUCAUAUCAACUUAAAGGAAAAUAUACAGCACCUCCUAGGUGAUCACUAUUAUGUUAAGUGGGUAAAUGCUUUAUGUUUUUUUCACAACUGAAGCCAAUGCUGAAUGAAGAGCGUCUGUUCUACAUUUUGCAAGGACUGGAAUGUUGGUAUAAUCGAGACAAGAUGGCUGGCUCACUGACAGUUUAGGUGAGAGAAAUGCACACCAAAGCCAUCUGUUUUGUUACCUCACCACAAGGAGAAGGGACACACUCUUAUGAGGAAUACUCACUGCUUGAUAUACCUUAACAUGAAUACAGAUAUUUUAAGGGCUUCAUGCAGAAUUAGACAAUAUACCUCACUGUGUUACCUGGCAGUCAAGAAUUACUCACUUUCAGAGUGAAUUCACUCUGGCCUAUGCAUAAAUCAGGGCAAACAACAACAACAAAAAACCAUCAAACAUGCAGAGGAAGAUGUGAAAGACCAAUGUUUCUAACGUAAUUCUCGUCAAGCUCGUCGGUAUGUAGGAAAAAUGUAUGUAACACUUUAUUCUAGAAAUUUCCAUUUAAAGCCACCGCUCUGAGUUCCCUGACACUCCUGCAUAGUCUGACCUUGCUUAGGAAGACUGAGAAUCUGUGGAGCUGCUCUAGAAAAAGGGUGGGCGGGGGUGGAUAAGCAGCCCUCUUAUCCCUACUUUUCCCUUUUACUAAGAACCCAGGAUGGUUGAAUGCAAGGUCCGUUUUUAUUCUGAGGAUAGAAAAAAUUCAGGGCUUUCCCAGGCUAUUUCACCCACACUAUCUAUCUCAUUUGGUUUUAUCUAUGUUUGGUUCUAGAUUCACUAAAGAUAGAAAAGCCGCAUAUAACCCUUAUCUCUUCCUUUUGUGUGGUGCAGUGAUGUAAAAUCACCCUAUGGGAUCCAAAAGAAUUUGGAAUUCAAAUGGAGUUGUUUUCAGAGAGAGAAGAGGCAGAGAAAAGGAUAUCAGAAGACAAAUGGGUACCCGUGAUUGCAACAGCGCCUGCAGCAGCUCCAGGUUACCCUCAGUCUCAGAAGGACAUCUUCUCUCUCCCUGGACCAAUCACUGUAUCUUUGGUGAUUGGGAUCACAGGCUCUGGGAGUUCAGCUUGAGUGAAGUUCAUGACUCCUCAGCCCCCUGUGGGAGGGGAAACAGAGUUCUUGACUGAAGAAAAAAGGAAUUCUGAGCAAGUGACAACAGAUAUAAAAUACCACGAGGCAGCCAGGUACCAAAGGAAAAGUAUUGGCUUUGAAUUAGAAGAGUUGAAAUUGAAUUCUAACUCUAUUAUCAGUUUGCUGUGAAAGUCCAGGCAAAGUAUUUCACCUCUCUCAGACUUGGUUUCCUGAUUUGUAAAACAUGUGGAUUGGG